UUCAGUUACGCGAGAGACUAGAAUACUGGACGUGCUUCUUUUUUUUCUUGUGUUUUUGCGAAGUGAGUUUGGUUUGGUUCUUAAUUACUGGGCUUGCGGAUCCAACAUAAAUAUAUGACUAUGACCUUUUCUUCCCAUCGGUCAAGCUGAUUGGGGUGUUGGAUUCUCCUUCCUCCGAACUUCAUUCACGCAUUCAACAUCAACAUGAUCUGAUAGAUCGUGUUUCAUCUCACGUUUCCAUAUCAGGGAAAUGGGUUUGUGGACUUUACUUGAGGGGUUUUUACUUCUUGCAAAUGCAAUGGCAAUUUUAAAUGAGGGUCGUUUUCUUGCACCUAGAGGAUGGGGUUUCGCAGAUUUCUCAGUUGGAAGGACUAAGUCGUUCAAAGGCCAGCUUAUAGGUCUCAUUUAUGCAACUCAGUACCUUAGAGUUCCCCUCAUACUUCUCAACUCCAUUUGCAUCAUUCUCAAAUUGGUGUCUGGAUGAUACUUCACAAGGUUACGAGUUUUUGUUAGAUGAUUUCACGAAGGUCUUUAAGAUAGCAGGCUUACCAAAUUCUUGUAUAGAAAUAUCAACUAAAGUAUGUCUCCUAUUUGUUUGAUAUUAUUUAUUACCACCAAAUAACGUUCUUUAAUGUAUUAACUUAGUUAGGCUAAAAUGUGGGACAUUAUGAUUUUAAAUUCAGUGUUGUAUUCAGUUUAUUGAGUAUUGAUUAUCA